rnacentral:rRNA from 1 species
GACGAACGCUGGCGGCGUGGAUUAGGCAUGCAAGUCGAACGGUAGGAUCCUUUCGGGGAUCUGAGAGUGGCGAACGGGUGAGUAACACGUAGGUGAUCUACCCUCAAGACGGGGACAACCCAGGGAAACUUGGGCUAAUACCGGAUGUGAGCUAUCGCGAGAUAGUUUGAAAGGUGGCUUCGGCUGCCGCUUGAGGAUGAGCCUGCGUCCUAUUAGCUAGUUGGUGAGGUAACGGCUCACCGAGGCAGUGAUGGGUAGGCGGCCUUAACGGGUGGUCGCCCACACUGGGAUUGAGAUACGGCCCAGACUCCUACGGGAGGCAGCAGUCGAGAAUAGUCUACAAUGGUCGAAAGACUGAUAGUGCGACGCCGCGUGAACGAAGAAGCCCUUCGGGGUGUAAAGUUCUUUUAUUAUGUGAGCAGUGACACCCAUAUUAAUAGUAUGGGUGUAGAGAUAUUAGCAUAUGAAUAAGCAACGGCUAACUCCGUGCCAGC